UACGGGGGGGGCAAGCGUUGUUCGGAAUUACUGGGCGUAAAGGGCUCGUAGGUGGCCAACUAAGUCAGACGUGAAAUCCCUCGGCUUAACCGGGGAACUGCGUCUGAUACUGGAUGGCUUGAGUUUGGGAGAGGGAUGCGGAAUUCCAGGUGUAGCGGUGAAAUGCGUAGAUAUCUGGAGGAACACCGGUGGCGAAGGCGGCAUCCUGGACCAACACUGACGCUGAGUGAGCGAAAGCCAGGGGAGCAAGCGGG
rnacentral:rRNA from 1 species